rnacentral:misc_RNA from 1 species
CGCACCUUGCGCUCCUUGGUAUUCCGAGGAGCAUGCCUGUUUGAGUGUCGUGAAGUUCUCAACGCUGGAAUGUUUUCGCGAACGUUUCAGAAGGUUGGAUUUGGGAUUUGCAGGUCCGAAAGGUCUGCUGUUCUUAAUUGCAUUAGCCGCAAUUGCACUUUGGCUGAUCGGUGUGAUAAACAUUUGACAUCGUUUGAACGGUCAAGGCGCGGUGGCUUCUAAAGACAACUAAUUUUUGACCUUUGACCUCAAAUCAGGUAGGAUUACCCGCUGAACUUAA